rnacentral:rRNA from 1 species
AUUGAACGCUGGCGGCAGGCCUAACACAUGCAAGUCGAGCGAGCGGCGGACGGGUGAGUAAUGUAUGGGGAACUGCCCGAUAGAGGGGGAUAACUACUGGAAACGGUGGCUAAUACCGCAUACUAUCGGAUGAAACCAUAUGGGAUUAGCUAGUGGGUGGGGUAAAGGCUCACCUAGGCGACGCACUCUGGCUGGUCUGAGAGGAUGAUCAACCCCACUGGUACUGAGACACGGCCCAGACUCCUACGGGAGGCAGCAGUGGGGAAUAUUGCACAAUGGGCGCAAGCCUGAUGCAGCCAUGCCGCGUGGAUGAAGAAGGCCUUAGGGUUGUAAAGUACUUUCAGCGGGGAGGCGUUACCCGCAGAAGAAGCACCGGCUAACUCCGUGCCAGCAGCCGCGGUAAUUC